rnacentral:lncRNA from 1 species
AAGGACGCUGCACCUGCUGGCGCCCGCCUGGCCUCGAUCGUCAUGGCUGACGUCACGAGAGCCUCGUGAGGUUUACCCUGCCUUGAUAUCUCCGCUCCUCGUGAGCCUGCCUGGCUAGGCCACUCCUGAGGAGGUAUUGCGUCGCCCGCCUCAUGAGGCUUGGCCCCUCGCGAGGGCCUUGAAUACUUUAUUGAUGAAGAUGGGCCGUACGGCCCGCUGACUUAGCCACGCCGUGGGCCGCAGGCAGGCAAGUCUGGGGACCCCCGUUCCUAGAACGCCGACAGUAGCCCCCGGGCCCAAGGUGCGCUCGGGCUUAGCUUGGCGGCGAAGCCAAGGGUCAAGUACGGAGCGCCGCGGGCCCCCAAAGCCUGCGGCCUCGGUUGACGCGUGGCGGUUGAUUGGACGUGGGCGUCUCCACUUCCCCACGCUGCCUCGGCAACUGCUUGACCUGACAAAAGGCUGGCGCAGGUAGUACUUGCCUUCAUUGCUUCUUCCUCGCCUCGCUCUAGAUCCCCUUUCUCGCUCCUUGCCACCGCUACCUCCAGAUCCGCUCCAAUCUCAUCCUGCAUCUGCGAUCCAUGGCGCCGCGCUAAGUCAGGACUUCCUCAGCACCGGCUUGGUAUGAGCCGGCCCUUGAAGCGCCCACCGUCACGGAGAAGAGCCUCACCUCCGUGCGCCUGCUGAAGGCGGGUGAGAGCAAUGAUUGGGGGGAGACCAAGCUCCGGCUCACCUCCGACGUGCCGGAGCCUGAGGAAAGCACCUUCUUCCCCUUCUUCUCGAGCAGUGUUGCCGUCGGGUUGUUUCCUCCCUUCUCCGAUUUCUUUUAUGAAGUCCUCGACCACUACGGGCUGCAGGCGUUGCAUCUCCAUCCCAACUCGGUCCUCCUCAUGUCCAUGUUCGCCUACUACUGUGAGGCGUACCUGGGCGUGAUGCCAUCCGUGGCGCUCCUGCGCCAUUUCUUCUUCCUCCGUAUCAGCGAGGGGCACAUCUCCGGAUGCGCUAAUUUCGUCGCAUCCGGCAAGGCCAACUCGAUCUCGAGCACCGGGAAGAGGGCCGACAACAUUUGAUCCAAAUGGGUCUCGAUGGACACCGAGCGCGCCGAUCUGCGUCUGGUGUUGGCAAUGGUGGCGCCCUCUUCCAACGAGGGCUGGCCCAAGGCGGAGCUUGCUGAUGAGCGGGCAUCAUUAGUAUUGGGGCAGAUGAUGACCGACUUGAAGCCGGGCGACGCGAAGGCGGCCAAGGUGACGGGGGUCAUGCUCCUGAGGGAGUUCUUGACGCUGCGAGUUGCCCCGCUCCACGCGCGCGCGCGCCCCCUGUGGGAGCUUGAAGAAGAGGGAGACAAGACCCGCCUGAGGCCGAGGCCCCCGCCUAACGACGAAUUAGCCGAUGUCCUGCGUCUCAUAGUUGGGGACAACCAGGAGUACCUGCCAAGCGCCUUCAUUCCCCUGUUCCAACGCAGGGACCGGGAGGAAUUCGUCGCCUCCAGGCCGACCUUUGACGCGCGCCGGCUGGUGCCGCCGGCGCUCCCAGGAGCCCCUGCGGCACCGAAGCCGGUGGAGGUGUCCUCUGAUGAGUCCUUUGGGGAGGAGGAAGAGGAGGUGGACUCGGAGAAGACUCUUGAAGAGGUGGGGGAGACUUCCCCUUUGAGCAAGGCCGAGAUCCUCCACGCCCUUCUUGACGAUGCCGAGGCUGACACCCACCAGGAGGAGAGGGAGUAGCCCCUCAUCCCGACAAGGGGUAGGUCGUCGCUGGUGCCUCGGGAUGCCGCCUCCAUCCCGACACCUCCUGGGGCUGGCUCUGGCCCUGCCUCCGCAUCGCCUGCCACUGCCGGAGCCCGCACGCCUGUUCCUCAAGUCCCGAUGCUGUCAGGCUUCAAGCUCCCCAAGCGGAAGUAUGUCGUGGUGGAUCGAUAAGUGUCUUAAGCUUCGCCUUGUCCCUGUCUGUACUUGUUAUUUCCUGACGUUCACCCUCGGUCGAUCAGGCCGGCGCCUUGAGCGAAGAAGAGGAAGGAGGGUACGGCGGGCGUGCCUGCUUCCGCAGAGAAAGGAGGCAGCAAUGCCCGCGCCUCCCCAACUCGGUCGUCCUCGUGAGGCCAAGAGGAACAUCGCCUUGUGGAAUCAGCCCCCAUGGCCCCGUUGGCUCCGGAAGUGCCGGCGUCUGGCGCGGUUGAUGAGGUCCCAACUGCUCCGGAGCCCACAAUCUCCCGGGUCCUCGCGACGACGUCGGGUCCUCCCACUGCUGCACCUCCACUCUCUGGUUCUUCUGCUCCUGCUGCUGUACUGGAACGUGCUCUUUCGGAAAUGACCCAGUUGCAAGCAGAUCUCCUGGGCGCGGACCCAUGCCUGGUGGCCGUGCGCCUAGAGCUGGCCUCUGGCUGGCUUCACUCUGACCUCGCGGUUCACGCGACGCUGAGCCAGGCCGCUGCGGCUUCCGAGAGGGAGAAGCAAAGUGCCGCCGACGCUAUAGCCGAUCGUGAGACGGCCCUGAAAGACGCCAAGGUCGCCCGUGACCGCUGCCAAGUGCUGGAGGACGAGUUGCAGAGCCUGCGCGACAAGCACGUCGAAGAAGCGCACGGCCGCCUGGCAAAGGAGGAGGAGGUGAAGGCCCGGGAGGACGCCGUCAAGAACCGCGGCGCUGAGCUGCCAGAGUUGGGGAAAACACAGGCCGCCGAACGCAACCGGUUCGAAGAGCUCGAGCGGAAGGUGAAGGCGAAGGAGUCCAAUCUUGACCCCAAGGCGCGGGUCCUGGCCGAAGACCGCGUGGCCUUUGCCGACCUCGAGGAGAGAUCUCGCAAGGCACUGAAGACGCUCUACGACCACGGCCUGGAGAAGCCGCUGGCCACUGAUGAGGACGGCCCCGCCCAGUUGCUUCCUCCCUUGGUGAAGGCGCUCGAGAAGGUCGUUGAAGGCGUCGGUCCUAUGGCGGAGGCAGAGGCUCGCGUCCUGUCUUCAACUGCAUUGACCCGCGUUUUCAGCCACUUGCACCUUCGCGAACCCAAUGCUUGCCUUGACGAGCUGCUGGAGCCUGUGGCUGAGGAUGACUGCGAAGCCGCCGCCGCAGCUGUGCAAGGUCAGGUGGAGGCCCUGCUGGAGAGGUUCCGCGGCUUUGCCUCCUCACCCUUGUCUGGCGAUGCCGCCGACCCUGCGGCUGGUGGUGCAGGUGAAGGCGUCACUACCCAGGAUGGAGCACCUUCUGCAGGCGACGGCGGUGUCCAGAGGUGACCUGCAGCUAGCUUCCUGUUUUGUUCCUGCAACAUGCAUCAGGCCUCGUGGAGGCAUUUAGACUUUUCAUUUGAUAUUGUGAGGACAAUAUGUUUGUAAUAUUUGCUUCAAAAAAUUUUGAUUUUCUUCCUAUCCGCUUGUGUUCUGCGUCGGCAGAGCCCGGCCCCGCGCAUACCUCAACCGCCAUUGGGCCGACCGGAGACCAGGACGGACCAAGGAGUGAGGGGCUACGUGACCAGUUAGGCUCCUGAGUCGCGAUGCUCAGGAGUCCCCCUUGACGCGCAAACAGCUUAUAGGGAGAGUACGUGAGGCUAGAUUAAUGUUCAACGUCGGCAGAGCCCGGCCCCAUGCAUACCUCAACCACCGUUGGGCUGACCGAAGACCAGGACGGACCAAGGAGUGAGGGGCUACGUGACCAGUUAGGCUCCUGAGUCGCGAUGCUCAGGAGUCCCCCUUGACGUGCAAACAACUUCCAUACCUGCCCUCGCCGAGGCCUUGGGAGGGGCGCGCGACGCCCUGGUCCGGGAGACCUGGUUGGGUGGCGUGCGCUUGGGCGUGACCCGACCGCAGCCCCCGUGCCCAGCCCCCUCACGCAGCUCUCCCGAGGGGAGGCAUUGCGGUGAGGCUGGACGCUGAGCUCUAGGCUCCCUGAGGUUGGUACGACCGUGGGGCCGCCCUCAGUUGUUUAUCACCAGCGCGGAGCAUAGUGCUUCCGCUUGUGCACGAGCAUAGCCGCUCCUCGGCAGUGUCGACGGCCAGCGCGGAGCAUGGUGCUUCCACUUGUGCGUGGGAUGGGGGGGCCCUCCGGGAGGAGCCCCUGGGGCGUGUACAGCCCCGCCCUGACACGUGGCUUGCACGGCAGGGCUGCGAGGUGUAUCUGGGCACUCAUGAGCCAGCGCGGGACUCACGAGGCCCUACCUCAAGGCGGGUUGCGCCUGGUCUUGAGUCCUGGUGACUGUAUGUUCCUGCAAGGCGGUUGGGUGCAAGCACUCUACGUCCUCAGGUCCCGGCCCUCGAGCGAGCUCAGCUGCCGCUGGUAUGCCAGGUCGCGAUGCCGUGGUCAAGGCCAAGGGGUGAGGGCUGGAGAGCCAGUAAGAGCUCCAGAGUCGCGAUGCUCAGGAGCCCCCCUUUUAACGCGCAAGCAAAUUGCACGGGGUGAAUGGACCCGCGGCGGGUGGAGAUCGAGCAGGUGAUAACCGUAGGCAGGUUAAGCAGGGAAGGCAAAUUAGCUUAGGUAAAUGCAGGAAGAUACAUGCCACUGGGUCUAGCCCGAGCGGCUUGGGGAUGAUGCAGCCCGAGGGGCGCCCCCAGCAAGGUAAGCUAAAGACAUAAGCAAAGGGGAUACAUGCCAUAGGGACGGACCCAUGCGGCCUGGGAAUAAUGCAGCCCGAGGGGCUCUCCCAGCUAAACGAGCUCGGAAAAUGUCACCUGGUUCUGUAGACGAAGUAGAGUUGGUGCAGCUGAAGGCGUGCGUCGCAGGAAUGACUCGUCACGAGCCACCGGGGCCCUGAGCCUCGGGAGGUUCCCUGAAGACCGUCUCCAUAUCUUCCAGGACGGCAUGGUACCUGGCCUCCUGAGCCACCAGGACACGCCGCAUGUUGCGCUGAUAGGCUGAUGCCACGCUCGGCAAGCCGAAGGGCAUGCGAACGUAGCUGUGUGGCGGGCCCUCGCAACAGCCCACACGCGAAGGCCAGAAACGCUCCUGAGAUGCGGCCCUGUUGAGACCUGGGACGUCGAUGCAGACACGCAGCCCAGCAUCCUCGCCUGGAUGGGGAGCUGCGCCUCGUGAGCGGCUGUCGCCGCGCAUGGCUCUUGCGUCUUGCAGUUCCUGUGUGGUCUUGGUGAUGAACUCCUGAGUGGUGGGCACUCCUUGCCCUGUGUUCUCCUGAGGGGAACGUGCCGCGAAGCACCCCUCCAAGUGGUGCCCAAGCACCUCCCUCAUGAGGUUGGCAAGGUCUGAGGCCCUCCAGAAGAGAGCCCCCGACCCCUGCCCAAGGAGGGCGCCGGGCGCGCCUUCCUACGCGACAGAGGGAGGAGCCCCUAGAGCGGGCGGUUAUCCUGAUGAGGCUCCAGCUGCGUCGCCGCCCACCUGAGAUCCUGCUCGGCGCAGCUGCUUCUUCUUGGGGAUGGCCUUCGGAGGGCCCUCACUCCUGCUAUCGGGGUUGUUGAUUGCUACAGCUUGGAAGGCGCGCUCGAGGGAGCACACCGCGUCUCUUUCUUCACAUGGGACCAUGAUGAUCCCGCCGCUUCCUGGCAUCUUGAGGACAUUGUAGCCAUGGUGGGUGACUGCCAUGAACUUGGCCAGGGCUGGAUACCCGAGGAUGGCGUUGUAGGGCAGUCGGAUGUGCGCGGCGUCGAAGUCGAUGAGCUCGGUGCGGUAGUUCUUGCGCUCUCCGAAGGUGACAGGCAGGCGGACCUGCCCUAUCGGUGUGGUGGAACCGUCGGUCACUCCUGAGAAAGGCUUGGUAGGCUGAAGCAGCUCAUAUGGCACUUGGAGGUUGUCGAACGUGUCGACGGACAGGACGUUGAGCCCUACGCCGCCGUCGAUGAGGGUCUUGGUAACUUGCACAUUGCUGAUGACUGGGGAGCACCGCAUUGAGAGGGCGCCAGCGGUGGCUGCGCACAUGAGAUGAUCUGCCGAGUUGAAAGUGAUGGCGCAUUGGGACCACUUCAGCGGGCGCGUGGCCUCGAGCUUGGGGAGCACCGCGUUCACUUCCCGAGCGAACUGUUUGAAGAUGCAUUGAGAAGCUGGGGCUUGCGCGCCACCCAAGAUGCGGGUGAUUGCACGCGGCUCCUGUAAGCCCCCAGCCCCCUCGUCCUGAUGGUGAUCGUCGUUCCUUCCUGGUGGCGGCAGCGGGCGAAGACCGGCGUUGCCCUAGGGGCGAUCCUCACGAGGCUGGUCCCUCCAAGCGCCCUCGCGAGGAUGGUCCUGCCAGCGGUCCUCACGAGGCCUGUCGCGCCAUUCUUGGCGCGGGCCACGGUCGUCCCAGCGUCCGCCUCCACGUCCUCCUCCACGGUCGUAGCCCCGGUCGCUGCGCUCGGGGCAUCGACCGAAACGUCCUUCGCGAAUGGCUCUGGGCUCUUGACAGUCACUGGUGUUGUGGGUGUUCAGAUUGUGGAAGGCGCAGAACAGUCGGCUGUUCUUGGAUGACUCGGGCUGAUCUCUACCCCGCUUGGUGUCGGGCUCCACUGCUAGCACUAUCGCUUCCUUCCACUUCACGUCCUUGGCCUUGGCCUUCUUCUCUUCUGUGCCCGCGGCUGGCAGCUCAAGGAGGGAAAGGCGCCCCUCCUCAGCUCUUGCGCACUUGGUCGCCAGGUUGAACAGCUCCUGAGAUGUGCACAGCUCCUCAUGGAUAGCGACCUCUUCCUUCAUCUUGACGUCACGGACGCCGUCUGAGAACGUGGAGAUGAUGGCCUCAUCCGUGACCUUGGGGAUCUUGAAGCGAGUGUUGUUGCAGCACUGGAUGUACUUCUGGAGGGUCUCUCCUGGUUGCUGCUUGAUGCGGCGCAGGUCAACCGCGGCCGGCGGGCGGUCGCGAGUGCCCUGGAAGUUGGCGACGAAGCGGUCGCGCAUCUCAUCCCAGGAGGAGAUCGAGCCGUGCUGCAGGUUCAGGAGCCAGGAGCGGUUCCAUCUUUGAGAGCCAUGGGAAACCAGUUCGUCAUGACUUUCUCAUCACCGUUGGCCACUUCGAUGCUCAGCUCGUAGAGCUGCAGGAACUCCACGGGGUCGGCGGUGCCGUCGUAGCGAGGAGGCAGAUCCGUCUUGAACUUGCCUGGCCAGGCGACGCUACGCAGCUCGGGGGUGAGGGCACGGCAGCCAGCCGUGGUUGCCGAGGCCCGCCUCGGAGGUGGAGCUUGGUCUUGAUGAGGUCCGUGCGGCGCCGCUGCAGGCGGCGCGCGGUCUUGACGAGGCGGCGCGGGGAGCGCAGGUGCAGCUUCUUGCGGCCGAGGGAUUUCUUGGCAGCUUCUCUCUUCGUGCGCGGGCGUCAGACAUGGCGGAUCAUGCCGUGGGGCCGCGCGCCUCGGCGCCAAGGCGUAGUCUUGGGGCAAAGGUGGUGGAAGCGCGCCAUGAGCCACGUUGCCUGUGGCUGGCGGAGGGUGAGGUAGAGAGGGGGACGGCGUCGGGGAGCCCUCUGCGGCGCGGACGAGCUCGGCGACGCGGUCGAGCCAUUCCUUGUAGAGGUCGUCAACCGGGCGGUAGCGCAGGAGCUCGUUCGAACCGAGGAGUGCGGCCCGCGCCUCCAUGGGAGCGCGGCGUGCGUGAGACGAAGAACCGGCCGGGGUCAGUGACGGAGUGGCAGUGCGGCCGUCCUGCCGCACCGAUGGAUGCAGCAAGGACACUUGCUGCUCGUUCCCUGCCGGGCCGGUGGCGGCGUUGGCUGCGGGAUACGGAGAACGAUGAGGUGGCUGCUACCUCUUGAGCACUGCGUUGGUUUUCCCUUGAAGAGGAAAGGGUGAUGCAUCAAAGUAGCGUAAGUAUUUCCCUCAGUUUUUGAUAACCAAGGUAUCAAUCCAGUAGGAGGCCACGCACGAGUCCCUCGCACCUACACAAACAAAUAAAUCCUCGCAACCAACGCGAUAAGGGGUUGUCAAUCCCUACACGGUCACUUACGAGAGUGAGAUGUGAUAGAUAUGAUAAGAUAAUAUUUUUGGUAUUUUUAUGAUAAAGAUGCAAAGUAAAGAAAGCAAAAUAAAAGCGGCAAAAGAAAUAGCUUGUUGUCGGGAGAUUAAUAUGAUGGAAAAUAGACCCGGGGGCCAUAGGUUUCACUAGUGGCUUCUCUCAUGAGCAUAAGUAUUUACGGUGGGUGAAUAAAUUAUUGUUGAGCAAUUGACAGAAUUGAGCAUAGUUAUGAGAAUAUCUAGGUAUGAUCAUGUAUAUAGGCAUCACGUCCGAGACAAGUAGACCAACUCCUGCCUGCAUCUACUACUAUUACUCCACACAUCAACCGAUAUCCAGCAUGCAUCUAGAGUAUUAAGUUCAUAGGAACAGAGUAAUGCUUUAAGCAAGAUGACAUGAUGUAGAGGGAUAAACUCAUGCAAUAUGAUAUAAACCCCAUCUUGUUAUCCUUGAUGGCAACAAUACAAUACGUGCCUUGCUGCCCCUACUGUCACUGGGAAAGGACACCGCAAGAUUGAACCCAAAGCUAAGCACUUCUCCCAUUGCAAGAAAGAUCAAUCUAGUAGGCCAAACCAAACUGAUAAUUCGAAGAGACUUGCAAAGAUAACCAAUCAUACAUAAAAGAAUUCAGAAGAUUCAAAUAUUGUUCAUAGAUAAACUUGAUCAUAAACCCACAAUUCAUCGGUCUCAACAAACAUACCGCAAAAGAAGAUUACAUCGAAUAGAUCUCCACGAGAGAGGGGGAGAACAUUGUAUUGAGAUCCAAAAAGAGAGAAGAAGCCAUCUAGCUAAUAACUAUGGACCCGAAGGUCUGAGGUAAACUACUCACACAUCAUCGGAGAGGCUAUGGUGUUGAUGUAGAAGCCCUCCAUGAUCGAUUCCCCCUCCGGCGGAGCUCCGGAACAGGCCCCAAGAUGGGAUCUCACGGGUACAGAAGGUUGCGGCGGUGGAAUUAGGUUUUUGGCUCCGUAUCUGGUAGUUUGGGGGUACGUAGGUAUAUAUAGGAGGAAGGAGUACGUCGGUGGAGCAACAGGGGGCCCACGAGGGUGGAGGGCGCGCCAGGGGGGUAGGCGCGCCCCCUACCUCGUGGCUUCCUGGUUGAAGUCUUGACGUAGGGUCCAAGUCCUCUGGAUCACGUUCGUUCCAAAAAUCACGUUCCCGAAGGUUUCAUUCCGUUUGGACUCCGUUUGAUAUUCUUUUUCUGCGAAACUCUGAAAUAGGCAAAAAAACAACAAUUCUGGGCUGGGCCUCCGGUUAAUGGGUUAGUCCCAAAAAUAAUAUAAAAGUGUAUAAUAAAGCCCAAUAAUGUCCAAAACAGAAUAUAAUAUAGCAUGGAGCAAUCAAAAAUUAUAGAUACGUUGGAGACGUAUCAAGCAUCCCCAAGCUUAAUUCCUGCUUGUCCUCGAGUAGGUAAAUGAUAAAAACAGAAUUUUUGAUGCGGAAUGCUACUUGGCAUAAUUUCAAUGUAAUUCUUCUUAAUUGUGGUAUGAAUAUUCAGAUCUGAAAGAUUCAAGAUAAAAGUUCAAUAUUGACAUAAAAAUAAUAAUACUUCAAGCAUACUAACUAAGCAAUUAUGUCCUCUCAAAAUAACAUGGCCAAAGAAAGUUCAUCCCUACAAAAUUAUAUAGUUUAGUCAUGCUCCAUUUUCGUCACACAAGAAUGCUCUCAUCAUGCACAACCCCGAUGACAAGCCAAGCAAUUGUUUCAUACUUUAGUAAUCUCAAACUUUUUCAACUUUCACGCAAUACAUGAGCGUGAGCCAUGGAUAUAGCACUAUGGGUGGAAUAGAAUAUAAUGAUGGGGGUUAUGUGGAGAAGACAAAAAGGGAGAAAGUCUCACAUAAACGAGGCUAAUCAAUGAGCUAUGGGGAUGCCCAUCGAUUGAUGUUAAUGCAAGGAGUAGGGAUUGCCAUGCAACGGAUGCACUAGAGCUAUAAAUAUAUGAAAGCUCAAGAAAAGAAACUAAGUGGGUGUGCAUCCAACUUGCUUGCUCACGAAGACCUAGGGCAUUUGAGGAAGCCCAUUGUUGGAAUAUACAAGCCAAGUUCUAUAAUGAAAAAUUCCCACUAGUAUAUGAAAGUGACAAAACAAGAGACUCUCUAUCAUGAAGAUCAUGGUGCUACUUUGAAGCACAAGUGUGGUAAAAGGAUAGUAACAUUGUCCCUUCUCUCUUUUUCUCUCAUUUUUUUGGCCUUCCUUUUUAUAUGGCCUUUCUCUUUUUUUAUUCCUCACUUGGGACAAUGCUCUAGAAAAUUAUGACCAUCACACUUCUAUUUAUUUACAACUCAAUGAUUACAACUCAAUACUAGAACAAAGUAUGACUCUAUAUGAAUGCCUCCGGCGGUGUACCGGGAUAUGCAAUGAACCAAGAGUGACAUGUAUGAAAAAAUAUGAAUGGUGGCUUUGCCACAAAUACUAUGUCAACUACAUGGUCAUGCAAAGCAACAUGACAAUGAUGAAUGUGUCAUGAUAAACGGAACGGUGGAAAGUUGCAUGGCAAUAUAUCUCGGAAUGGCUAUGGAAAUGCCAUAAUAGGUAGGUAUGGUGGCUUUUUUGAGGAAGAUAUAAGGAGGUUUGUGUGUGAAAGAGCGUAUCAUAUCACGGGGUUUGGAUGCACCGGUGAAGUUUGCACCAACUCUCAAUGUGAGAAAGGGCAAUGCACGGUACCGAAGAGGCUAGCAAUGAUGGAAAGGUGAGAGUGCGUAUAAUCCAUGGACUCAACAUUAGUCAUAAAGAACUGACAUACUUAUUGCAAAAAUCUACAAGUCAUCAAAAACCAAGCACUACCUGCAUGCUCCUAGGGGGAUAGAUUGGUAGGAAAAGACCAUCGCUCGUCCCCGACCGCCACUCAUAAGGAGGACAAUCAAAGAACACCUCAUGUUUCAAAUUUGUUACAUAACGUUUACCAUAUGUGCAUGCUACGGGACUUGCAAACUUCAACACAAGUAUUUCUCAAAUUCACAACUACUCAACUAGCACAACUUUGAUAUCACUACCUCCAUGUCUCAAAACAAUCAUCAAGCAUCAAACUUCUCUUAAUAUUCAACACACUCAUAAGAAAGUUUUUACUAGUCUUGAAUACCUAGCAUAUUAGGAUUAUUUAAGCAAAUUACGAUGCUGUUUACGACUCUCAAAAUAAUCUAAGUGAAGCAUGAGAGAAUAAUAGUUUCUAUAAAACAAAUUCACCACCGUGCUCUAAAAUAUAUAAGUGAAGUACUAGAGAAAACUAUAUAACUCAAAAGAUAUAAGUGAAGCACCUAGAGUAUUCCAAUAAUUUCCGAAUCAUGUGUGUCUCUCUUCAAAGGUGUGUACAGCAGAGAUGAUUGUGGUAAACUAAAAUAUAAAGACUCAAAUCAUACAAGACGCUCCAAGCAAAACAAAUAUCAUGUGGUGAAUAAAAAUAUAGCUCCAAGUAAAGUUACCGAUGGAAGUAGACGAAAGAGGGGAUGCCUUCCGGGGCAUCCCCAAGCUUUGGCUUUUAGGUGUCCUUAGAUUAUCUUGGGGGUGCCAUGGGCAUCCCCAAGCUUAGGAUCUUGCCACUCCUUGUUCCAUAAUCCAUCAAAUCUUUCACCCAAAACAUGAAAACUUCACAACACAAAACUCAGCAGAAAAUCUCGUGAGCUCCGUUAGCGAAAGAAAACAAAACACCACUUCAAGGUACUGUAAUAAACUCAUUCUUAAUUUAUAUUGGUGUUAAACCUACUGUAUUCCAACUUCUCUAUGGUUUAUAAACUAUUUUACUAGCCAUAGAUUCAUCAAAAUAAGCAAACAACACACGAAAAACAGAAUCUGUCAAAAACAGAACAGUCUGUAGUAAUAUGUAACUAACGCAAACUUCUGUAACUCCAAAAAUUCAGCAAAAAUAGGAAGACCUAGACAAUUUGUUUAUUGAUCAGCAGAAAUUUCAAUCAAUAUUUUAUCACGUUCUGGUGAUUUUUAACAAUUGUUUUCGUGAACAGAAAGUUUCUGGAAUUUACAGCAAGAUCAAAUAACUAUCAUCCAAGAAGAUCCUAUAGGUUUAACUUGGCACAAACACUAAUUAAAACAUAAAAAGACAUCUAACCAGAGGCUAGAACAAAGAUUUAUUCCUAAACAGAAACAAAAAGCAAAAAAAACUAAAAAUAAAAUUGGGUUGCCUCCCAACAAGCGCUAUCGUUUAACACCCCUAGCUAGGCAUAAAAGCAAGGAUAGAUCUAGGUAUUGCCAUCUUUGGUAGGCAAUCCAUAAGUGGAUCUCAUGAUAGAUUCAUAAGGUAAUUUUAUUUUCUUUCUAGGGAAGUGUUCCAUGCCUUUCUUUAAUUGGAAAUUGGAAUCUAAUAUUCCCUUCCUUCAUAUCAAUAAUUGCACCAAUCGUUCUAAGGAAAGGUCUACCAAGAAUAAUAGGGCAUGAAGGAUUGCAAUAUAUAUCAAGAACAAUAAAAUCUACAGGAACAUAAUUCCUAUUUGCAACAAUAAGAACAUCAUUAAUUCUUCCCAUAGGUUUCUUAAUAGUGGAAUCCGCAAGGUGCAAGUUUAAAGAGCAAUCAUCAAAUUCACGGAAACCUAAUAAAUCACAUAAAGUUUUUGGAAUCGUGGAAACACUAGCACCCAAAUCACACAAAGCAUAGCAUUCAUGAUCUUUAAUUUUAAUUUUAAUAGUAGGUUCCCACUCAUCAUAAUGUUUUCUAGGGAUUGCAUUAAAGCAUCAACGAUAUGUUUAGUAAAAGCUUUGUGUUGAGUGUAAGCAUGAGGAGAAUUUAGCACGGAUUGGAACAAGGAAAUACAAUCUAUCAAAGAGCAAUUAUCAUAAUUAAAUUCCUUGAAAUCCAAAAUAGUGGGUUCAUUAAUAUCUAAUGUUUUGAUCGCUUCAAUCCCACUUUUAUCCAUUUUAGCAUCAACAUCUAAAAACUCCGAAUUCCUGGAACGCCUUCUAGGUAAAGGUGGAUCAUAUUCAGUCCCAUCAUUAUCAAGAUUCAUAUUGCAAAACAAAGAUUUAAUAGGGGACACAUCAAUAACUUUUAGAUCUUCAUCUUUAUUUUCAUAGAGAUUUGAAGAACACGCUUUCCCAAAGUAAUCUUUCUUAGCACGCAUCCUAGCGGUUCUUUCUUUGCACUCAUCAAUGGAAAUUCUCAUGGCUUUGAGAGACUCAUUGAUACCAUGCUUAGGAGGAAUAGAUCUAAGUUUUAAAUAGUCAACAUCAAGAGAAAUUCUAUCAACGUUCCUAGCCAAUUCAUCAACUUUAAGCAAUUUUUCUUCAAGCAAAGCAUUGAAAUUCUUUUGCGAAUUCAUAAAUUCCUUAACACUAGUCUCAAAUUCAGAAGGCAUCUUAUUAGAGUUUCCAUAAGAAUUGUUGUAGGAAUUACCAUGAUUAUUAGAGGAAUUACUAGGAUAAGGCCUAGGAUUAAAGUUUCCUCUAUACGCGUUGUUACCAAAAUUAUUCCUACCAACAAAAUUCACAUCCAUGGAUUCAUUAUUAUUCUCAAUCAAAGUAGACAAAGGCAUAUCAUUAGGAUCAGAAGAAACACUCUUAGUAGCAAAUAAUUUUAUAAGUUCAUCCAUCUUUCCACUCAAAACAUUAAUUUCUUCUAUCGCAUGCACUUUUUUACUAGUAGAUCUUUUAGUGUGCCAUUGAGAAUAAUUAACCAUAAUAUUAUCUAGGAGUUUAGUAGCUUCUCCUAAAGUGAUUUCCAUAAAAGUGCCUCCCGCGGCUGAAUCUAAAAGAUUUCUAGAAGCAAAAUUCAAUCCGGCAUAAAAAAAUUGUAUAAUCAUCCACAAAUUCAAACCAUGCGUAGGGCAAUUACGUAUCAUUAAUUUCAUCCUCUCCCAAGCUUGUGCAACAUUCAUGAUCAAGUUGCUUAAAAUUCAUAAUAUCGUUUCUGAGAGAGAUGAUCUUAGCGGGAGGAAAAUACUUAGAGAUAAAAGCAUAUUUGCACUUAUUCCAAGAAUCAAUACUAUUUUUAGGCAAAGACGAAAACCAAGCUUUAGCACGAUCUCUAAGCGAAAAUGAAAUAGCUUCAAUUUAACAAUAUCAUUAUCCACAUCUUUCUUCUUUUGCAUAUCACACAAAUUAACGAAGCUAUUUAGAUGAGAAGCGGCAUCUUCACUAGGAAGGCCGGCGAAUUGUUCUUUCAUGACAAGAUUCAACAAAGCAGCAUUGAUUUCACAAGAUUCAGUAUUCGUAAGAGAAGCAAUCGGAGUGCUAAGGAAAUCAUUAUUGUUGGUAUUGGUAAAGUCACAUAAUUUGGUAUUAUCUUGAGCCAUCGUGACAAGCAAGCAAUCCAACACACGAGCAAACAAGAGACGGGCAAAAAGAGGCAAACAGAAAAGAGAGGGCGAAUAAAACGGCAAGGGGGAAGUGGGGGAGAGGAAAACGAGAGGCAAAUGGCAAAUAAUGUAAUGCGGCAGAUAAGGGUAUGUGAUGGGUACUUGGUAUGUUGACUUUUGCAUAGACUCCCCGGCAACGGCGCCAGAAAUCCUUCUUGCUACCUCUUGAGCACUGCGUUGGUUUUGCCUUGAAGAGGAAAGGGUGAUGCAGCAAAGUAGCAUAAGUAUUUCCCUCAGUUUUUGAGAACCAAGGUAUCAAUCCAGAAGGAGGCCACGCACGAGUCCCUCGCACCUACACAAACAAAUAAAUCCUCGCAACCAACGCGAUAAGGGGUUGUCAAUCCCUACACGGUCACUUACGAGAGUGAGAUCUGAUAGAUAUGAUAAGAUAAUAUUUUUGGUAUUUUUAUGAUAAAGAUGCAAAGUAAAGAAAGCAAAAUAAAAGCGGCAAAAGAAAUAGCUUGUUGUCGGGAGAUUAAUAUGAUGGAAAAUAGACCCGCGGCCAUUGGUUUCACUAGUGGCUUCUCUGAUGCACAUAAGUAUUUAUGGUGGGUGAAUAAAUUACUGUUGAGCAAUUGACAGAAUUGAGCAUAGUUAUGAGAAUAUCUAGGUAUGAUCAUGUAUAUAGGCAUCACGUCCGAGACAAGUAGACCAACUCCUGCCUGCAUCUACUACUAUUACUCCACACAUCGACCGCUAUCCAGCAUGCAUCUAGAGUAUUAAGUUCAUAGGAACAGAGUAAUGCUUUAAGCAAGAUGACAUGAUGUAGAGGGAUAAACUCAUGCAAUAUGAUAUAAACCCCAUCUUGUUAUCCUCGAUGGCAACAAUACAAUACGUGCCUUGCUGCCCCUACUGACACUGGGAAAGGACACCGCAAGAUUGAACCCAAAGCUAAGCACUUCUCCCAUUGCAAGAAAGAUCAAUCUAGUAGGCCAAACCAAACUGAUAAUUCGAAGAGACUUGCAAAGAUAACCAAUCAUACAUAAAAGAAUUUAGAAGAUUCAAAUAUUGUUCAUAGAUAAACUUGAUCAUAAACCCACAAUUCAUCGGUCUCAACAAUCACGCCGCAAAAGAAGAUUACAUCAAAUAGAUCUCCACGAGAGAGGGGGAGAACAUUGUAUUGAGAUCCAAAAAGAGAGAAGAAGCCAUCUAGCUAAUAACUAUGGACCCGAAGGUCUGAGGUAAACUACUCACACAUCAUCGGAGAGGCUAUGGUGUUGAUGUAGAAGCCCUCCAUGAUCGAUGGCCCCUCCGGCGGAGCUCCGGAACAGGCCCCAAGAUGGGAUCUCACGGGUACAGAAGGUUGCGGCGGUGGAAUUAGGUUUUUGGCUCCGUAUCUGGUAGUUUGGGGGUACGUAGGUAUAUAUAAGAGGAAGGAGUACGUCGGUGGAGCAACAGGGGCCCCACGAGGGUGGAGGGCGCGCCUAGGGGGGUAAGCGCGCCCCCUACCUCGUGGCUUCCUGGUUGAAGUCUUGACGUAGGGUCCAAGUCCUCUGGAUCACGUUCGUUCCGAAAAUCACGUUCCCGAAGGUUUCAUUCCGUUUGGACUCCGUUUGAUAUUCUUUUUCUGCGAAACUCUGAAAUAGGCAAAAAGCAGCAAUUCUGGGUUGGGCCUCCAGUUAAUAAGUUAGUCCCAAAAAUAAUAUAAAAGUGUAUAAUAAAGCCCAAUAAUGUCCAAAACAGAAUAUAAUAUAGCAUGGAGCAAUCAAAAAUUAUAGAUACGUUGGAGACGUAUCAGUGGCCCACCGACGGGAGCCAUCUGAGCAACGCGGGCGGUGAGGGCAGCCCGGCGCUCAGCUCGAGCACGGCGAGCGUCCACCAUGAAGACGACGGAGCGACGAAUUGAUGGAAGGGAAGUUACGACACACCCCUACCUGGCGCGCCAAAUGUCGGAUGUGGGGUUCCGGCAAACCCUUAAGGUUCGAACUCUGGGGUGCCCGCGAAGUCUUUCCCUCCUACCGAUCCACGCCCUAGCUCGCUAAGAUCUCGCGGAUGAACUCGACAAACUCGCAACACAGAAAGACACAAGAUUUAUACUGGUUCGGGCCACCGUUGUGGUGUAAUACCCUACUCUAGUGUGUGUGGUGGUGGAUUGCCUCUUGGGCUGAUGAUGAACAAUACAAAGGGGAAGAACAGCCUCCUGAGGUUGAGUUGUUCUUGUGCUUGGUGAACUGGCGGAUGAGAACUCUCGCAGAUCAGAUGAAGCUGAGUCUGCCUCGGGCUGAGUUGAGAUCCCCCUACUUUGGUAGCUAGCUCUACUUAUAUAGGCCCUGGUCCUCUUCCCAACUAUUGAGCGGGAAGGGAGCCAACAACGGCGGGCAAAUUUGAAGGGGGACAGGCAGUACAAGCUAUCCUGACAAAAGUGGUCUUCGCCUGCGAAAAGCUCUGGUGGUGAUGCCGUCUUGGGCUUCAUGAUGACCUCCGUCAUGCCGUCCUUCUGGUCUUGGUCUCAUUGCACCGAUAUGGCAAACUUUGCCUGAUGCCUCGGUACUCUUUGCCUGUGCUCGCCUCCUUAGCACCAAAGAGGAAAUAAGGACACUGCACCUGCUGGCGCCCGCCUGGCCUCGAUCGUCAUGGCUCACGUCACGAGAGCCUCGUGAGGUUUACCCUGCCUUGACAUCUCCGCUCCUCAUGAGCCUGCCUGGCUAGGCCACUCCUGAGGAGGUCUUGCGUCGUCCGCCUCGCGAGGCUUGGCCCCUCGCGAGGGUCUUGAAUGCUUUGUUGAUGAAAUGGGUCGUACGGCCCGCUGACUUAGCCACGACGUGGGCCGCAGGCAGGCAAGUCUGGGGACCCCCGUUCCCAGAACGCCGACAGAAGCUGUGGGAUGUCAAAAUGCAUCGUAGGGGAGCGUUCCGCCUUAGAGGGAAGCACCCGCGAAAGCGGGGGUCGACGAAGCAUAAGAGAGAAUGUCGUCUUGAGUAACGAAAACAUUGGGGAGAAUCCAAUGCCUCGAAAACCCAAGGUUUCCUUCGCAAGGUUCGUCCACGGAGGGUGAGUCAGGGCCUAAGAUCAGGCCGAAAGGCGUAAUCGAUGGACAAUAGGUCAAUAUUCCUGGACUACCCCUUGUUGGUACGGAGGGACGGAGGAGGCUAGGUUAGCUGAAAGAUGGUUAUAGGUUUAACGACACAAGGUGACCCUGCUUUUUUAGGGUAAGAAGGGGCAGAGAAAAUGCCUCGAGCCGAGGUACGAGCACCAAGCGCUGCAGCGCUAAGUAUGAGCCCCGUGGACUAGCGAUUGCUUCUCCACGAGGCUCAUACCAGGCGCUCUCGCAAUUGGUUGGAUCACAAGGGCGAUGGUUUACUUCACGGGCGAGGUCUCUGGUUCAAGUCCAGGAUGGCCCAGCUGCGCCAGGGAAAAGAAUAGAAGAAGCAUCUGACUCUUUGAUGCAUGCUCCACUUGGCUCGGGGGGAUAUAGCUCAGUUGGUUGAGCUCCGCUCUUGCAAUUGGGUCGUUGCGAUUACAGGUUGGCUGUCUAAUUGUCCAGGCGGUAAUGAUAGUAUCUUGUACCUAAACCGGUGGCUCACUUUUUCUAAGUAAUGGGGAAUAGGACUGAAACAUGCCACUGAAAGACUCUACUGAGACAAAAAGAUGGGCUAUCAAAAAGGUAGAGGAGCUAGGAUGGGCAGUUGGUGAGAUUUAGUAUGGAUCGUACAUGGACGAUAGUUGGAGUCGGCGGCUCUCCUAGGCUUCCCUCAUCUGGGAUCCCUAGGGAAGAGGAUCAAGUUGGCCCUUGCGAAUAACUUGAUGCACUAUCUUCCUUCAACCCUUUGAGUGAAAUGUAGCAAAAGGAAGGAAAAUCCAUGGACCGACCCCAUUGUCUCCACCCCGUAGGAACUAUGACAUCACCCCAGGGACGCCCUCGGCGUCCAGGGGUGACGGACCGACCAUAGACCCUGUUCAAUAAGUGGAACACAUUAGCCGUCUGCUCUCCGGUUGGGCAGUAAGAGUCGGAGAAGGGCAAUCACUCGUUCUUAAAACCAGCAUUCUUAAGAUCAAAGAAUCGGGCGGAAAAAGGGAGAGCUCCCCAUUCCUGGUUCUCCUGUAACUGGAUUCCCCGGAACCACAAGAAUCCUUAGAAUGGGAUUCCAACUCAGCACCUUUUGUUUUGAUAUUUUGAGAAGAGUUGCUCUUUGGAGAGCACAGUACGAUAAAAGUUUUAAGCUGUGUUCGGGGGGGCCUGAGAGGUGGUGGUUUACCCUGUGGCAGAUGUCAGCGGUUUGAGUGCGCUUAUCUCCAGCCCGUGAACUUAGCGGAUACUAUGAUAGCGAUAGCACCGAAUUUUGCCAAUUCGGCAGUUCGAUCUAUGAUUUCACAUUCAUGGACGUUGAUAAGAUCCUUCCAUUUAGUAGCACCUUAGGAUGGCAUAGCCUUAACGUUAAUGGCGAGGUUCAAAAGAGGAAAGGCUUGUGGUGGAUACCUAGGCACCCAGAGACAAGGAAGGGCGUCGCAAGCGACGAAAUGCUUCGGGGUAAAGAGCAUACCUAAGUUCAAUAGCUUUACAUCCGCUAUCCCGAUCAUGAUUUUCCUACCCUCGGGGGAAAGUAAAGGCCCUUCCCCCUUUGGAAGGUUGUGGGCGAGGAGGGAUUCGAACCCCCGACACCGUGGUUCAUAGCCACGUGCUCUAAUCCUCUGAGCUACAGGCCCAGCUAUCUCCACUGGAUCUCUUCCCGGGGGUACCCCUUCAUUUCAGGUUAAGAAGAUGGGAAAGCGCCUUUCUCUCUAUAAGAACAGUGCGUUCUGAGCUGUGAAGUGCUUUUUUUUUGGUUUUUUCAUCUAUUCAUCAAAGAGUUGAACAAUGAAGAUAGAUGGCAAGUGCCUGAUCGAUUUGAUCAGGCCGUGUAGGAACAAGGUUCAAAUCGUUCGUUCGUUAGGAUGCCUCAGCUGCAUACAUCACUACACUUCCACUUGACACCUAUUUAAACGGCUUGUCUCGCCGCUACCUUAUCCUAUUUCCAUACUUUUGUUGCUCCAUCCCCGUAUGGGUGGAGAACCCGUCGCUGUCUCGGCUGUGAUACCGGAGGCUCUACGGAAGUCAGAGGAGAGAGCACUCAUCUUGGGGUGGGCUUACUACUUAUAUGCUUUCAGCAGUUAUCCUCUCCGCACUUGGCUACCCAGCAUUUACCGUAGGCACGAUAACUGGUACACCAAAGGUGCGUCCUUCCCGGCCCUCUCGUACUAGGGAAAGGUCCUCUCAAUGCUCUAACGCCCACACCGGAUAUGGACCGAACUGUCUCACGACAUUCUAAACCCAACUCACGUACCGCAUUAAUGGGCGAA